AGAGUUUGAUCCUGGCUCAGGAUGAACGCUGGCGGUGUGCCUUAGGCAUGCAAGUCGAACGGUAAUUUAAUCUUCGGAUUAGAACGAGUGGCAGACGGGUGAGUAACACGUGAGAAUCUACCUUUUAGUGGGGGAUAGCUCCGCGAAAGCGGAGGUAAUACCGCAUGUGGUCCCGAUUUAUCGGGAUCAAAGUCUUCGGACGCUAGAAGAGGAGCUCGCGCGCUAUCAGCUUGUUGGUGGGGUAAUGGCCUACCAAGGCGAUGACGGCUAGCCGGUGUGAGAGCACGACCGGCCACAAGGCUACUGAGACACGGAGCCUACACCUACGGGUGGCAGCAACCGGGAAUAUUGCGCAAUGGACGAAAGUCUGACGCAGCGGCACCGCGUGUGGGAUGAAGCUCUUCGGAGUGUAAACCACUGUGGCGAGGGAUGAAUUCUGACAGUACCUCGCUAGAAAGCAUCAGCUAACUACGUGCCAGAAGCUUCGGUAAUACGUAUGAUGCAAGCGUUAUCCGGAUUCACUGGGCGUAAAGGGUCCGUCGGCGUCCCGAAAGGUCUUUUGUUUAAUCCUCCGGCUCAACUGGAGAUCAGCAAAAGAAACCAUUGGGAUUGAGUCUGUUCGAGGAAGCUAGAAUUCUUGGUGGAGGGGUGAAAUCCGUAGAUAUCAAGAGGAAUACCAUGCGCGAAGGCAAGCUUCUAGGACACGACUGACGCUCAGGGACGAAAGCUUGGGUAGCAAAGCGGAUUAGAGACCCGUGUAGUCCAAGCUGUAAACUAUGCUCGCUAGUUUCUCGUUCCGCUUUGCGGAAUGGGAGACGUAAGCUAACGCGUUAAGCGAGCCGCCUGGGGAGUACGACCGCAAGGUUAAAACUCAAAGGAAUUGGCGGGGGAGCGCACAACCGGUGGAGCAUGUGGUUUAAUUCGAUACAAAGCGAAAAACCUUACCCGGACUUGACAUGUACCUGCACGGUCUUGGAAACAAGAUCUUCUUCGAGAGUGGUACACAGGUGAUGCAUGGCUGUCGUCAGCUCGUGUCGUGAGACGUCUACUUAAGUGUAGUAACGAGCGCAACCCUUGUCCCGUGUUACAAGUGUCACGGGAGACUGCCUCUGCUUUGCAGGGGAGGAAGGAGAGGAUGACGUCAAGUCAGCACGUCCCUUACGUCCGGGGCAACACACAUCCUACAAUGGAGCCGACAACAGGUAGCGACAGGGUAACCUAGAGCCAAUCCUUAAACGGCCCCUCAGUUCGGAUUGCAGGCUGAAAUUCGCCUGCAUGAAGUUGGAAUCGGUAGUAAUCGCAAAUCAGCAGGUUGCGGUGAAUGCGUUCUCGCUCCUUGCACACACUGCCCGUCAAGCCAGCAAAGUCAGCAGCGCCCGAAGCGGGUGUCCGGAACCCUCACGGGACCGGCCCUUCUACGGCGAGGUUGGCGAUGAGGACUAAGUCGUAACAAGGUG
rnacentral:rRNA from 1 species